rnacentral:lncRNA from 1 species
CUCCUUGUUAAACAUUGCCGGGUAUCAGGUGCGGAAGGAAGCAAUGAAGAAAGAACUAAGGCAGUGUAGUAAUCGGGAGACUGCCCUUUUUGAUGCAGA